AUUAACUUUGCAGGCAAAUUAGCCCAUAAAUUUUAUUUGGGGAAAUUUUGUCCUAAUUGAACUGAGCGCAUACAUUUGGCCUUUUAGUCAGAUUUUGUGAUUUGAUUGCCCCAAAAAUAUAAUUUACAGCGCUAAUUUGCCCACAAAGUUAAUUUUUGGGAUGACUUGCCUGCUGAUGACAAGUUCAAGGAGCAAAUUUCUACUUUAUCCACAUUCAAACAGACUAAUUUAGAUUAAACUGUAACAUAUCUUACAACGACAGGGGAAAUUAAGUCAAGCGUUCAGUAGGGAAACAAUGUUUCUCAGUUUAAUAAUAUCCUAUGAUAAAAGGACGUCUAACAAAGUAUUAAAGCCCUGAUCUUUAUAUAAUUACAUGCAAUUAUUUAGCCGCGCUAAUUAUGUUAGUUAAUAAAAAAUCUAAAACAAAUAACAGAAGCAAAAUUAAACAAUUAAAUUACCCGCAUUGCAGGCUCUUGUUAACCCUGCCAAAUAAUUCUGCUGUCAAAUUAGGCCUCCCAGUUGCAUACAGACCUGGAGAUUGAAGCCUCAGUCCUGAAUAUAGCUUGGUUCCACAA
rnacentral:misc_RNA from 1 species